UUUCCGUAGGUGAACCUGCGGAAGGAUCACUAAAGAGAACUUGCCCUUCGGGGUAGAUCUCCCACCCUUUGUUUAUUAUACUUUGUUGCUUUGGCGGGCCUGCCUCACGGCUGCCGGCGUAAGCUGGCUCGCGCCCGCCAGAGACCCCUAAACUCUGAAUAUUGUCGUCUGAGUAAUAUAUAUAAUAAGUUAAAACUUUCAACAACAGAUCUCUUGGUUCUG
rnacentral:misc_RNA from 1 species